rnacentral:lncRNA from 1 species
GGCCAUCUGUGCCAUCUUCCCAGUGAACUUGCAGACAAAACCAACAGCACAAUGCUGAUAUGAAGAACAGAUGAAAUUUACAGAUGUUUGCACUUUUCCAUGUGUUUAUUGGCCCCCAUGGCUCUUUCCUGAGUGGCCUGACCAGCCCUCUCCCCCAGUCUCCUGGGCCCCAUAGUAGAGGGAGCAGAAGAGGGUGGGAAGGAGCCCCAGCUGGGAGGAGACAGGAAGGAAAAACCAGCCUUUGUUUGAACCUGAACCCUCGUCCCAGGCUGGCUACCAGUCCUCCUGUUCCAGCCUUCCUUUUCCAGUAUGAAUAAUCCCAGUUUCUUUCAUCUGAACUCCUGAACCUCCUUCAGCUCUUCCAGUCCACCAGCACCCUCGUGAUUCUGGGCUUAACACAGGUGAGUUGGGAAUCAGACUCUUGAGUUGACAGCUGGCCUAUGGUUUCUGCAUUUUGUUAAGAAGCACCUCAUGCAAGCGAGGGACCUGGGACUGCUCACAGCCAGGUGG